rnacentral:lncRNA from 12 species
CUCUCUUAAGGCAGGCAAUGAGCACAAUUCCCACAGAAGCUACAACGAAAGCCGGAGGCACUGGCUUCAGUAGAAAUUUUGUUGGAGUAAAACGGUUCCGCCAAGUCAUUUUUGAUCAAAGACUUUUCCAUGGCUCCAGCUAGCUGCUCAUACAGUGUGCAGUCCUUCUACUGUGUUUCUCCCUUACCUAAAUGUGUACCUUCAAGCCUGCAUUUCCAAAGGGAUCAAAUACCAUCAUCCAGAGUUAAACUUAGGAGGGAUGGCAAUCCAGAAGUCCCUAUGUUAAGUAGCAUAACUAAUUAAGCAACAAAAGACCUCAUCUACCCUUGAAAUACAAUGCAGGUUUGUGAAUUGAUAUGUUUCUCUUAAUCAUUGUUAAUGUCAUUUAUUGAGCAUAUAUUAUGUGCUAAACCUCUGAGCUAAGACGGUUAUAAGCAUAGCCUCAUUGUAUCAACUUAGUCACCUAUGAUUAUCCCCCACUCACAGGAACAGCAGGAUGAAAUAGAGUGGCAUUUUGCAAGAACCAGACAAACGGACUUCAACUUGAUUGCUCAAUUUUUUCCAAUUAAACUUUAAAUUCUGAGAUAAUUGUAGAUACACAUGUGGUUAUAUGGAAUAAAAGUUAGAGAUUUGUGAUCUUGUAUACCCUU